AUUGAACGCUGGCGGCAGGCCUAACACAUGCAAGUCGAGCGGAUGACGGGAGCUUGCUCCUUGAUUCAGCGGCGGACGGGUGAGUAAUGCCUAGGAAUCUGCCUGGUAGUGGGGGACAACGUUUCGAAAGGAACGCUAAUACCGCAUACGUCCUACGGGAGAAAGCAGGGGACCUUCGGGCCUUGCGCUAUCAGAUGAGCCUAGGUCGGAUUAGCUAGUUGGUGGGGUAAUGGCUCACCAAGGCGACGAUCCGUAACUGGUCUGAGAGGAUGAUCAGUCACACUGGAACUGAGACACGGUCCAGACUCCUACGGGAGGCAGCAGCGGGGAAUAUUGGACAAUGGGCGAAAGCCUGAUCCAGCCAUGCCGCGUGUGUGAAGAAGGUCUUCGGAUUGUAAAGCACUUUAAGUUGGGAGGAAGGGCAGUAAGUUAAUACCUUGCUGUUUUGACGUUACCGACAGAAUAAGCACCGGCUAACUCUGUGCCAGCCGCCGCCGUAAGAC
rnacentral:rRNA from 1 species